AGUGAACGCUGGCGGUAGGCCUAACACAUGCAAGUCGAACGGCAGCACAGUAAGAGCUUGCUCUUACGGGUGGCGAGUGGCGGACGGGUGAGGAAUACAUCGGAAUCUACUUUUUCGUGGGGGAUAACGUAGGGAAACUUACGCUAAUACCGCAUACGACCUACGGGUGAAAGCAGGGGAUCUUCGCACCUUGCGCGGUUGAAUGAGCCGAUGUCGGAUUAGCUAGUUGGCGGGGUAAAGGCCCACCAAGGCGACGAUCCGUAGCUGGUCUGAGAGGAGGAUCAGCCACACUGGAACUGAGACACGGUCCAGACUCCUACGGGAGGCAGCAGUGGGGAAUAUUGGACAAUGGGCGCAAGCCUGAUCCAGCCAUACAGAGUGGGUGAAGAAGGCCUUCGGGUUGUAAAGCCCUUUUGUUGGGAAAGAAAAGCAGCAGGUUAAUACCCCGCUGUUCUGACGGUACCCAAAGAAUAAGCACCGGCUAACUUCGUG
rnacentral:rRNA from 1 species